UGGCGUAGCGCGCAAAGCCUCGGCUUGCUAUGCCGAAUGUCCCGGGUUCGAUUCCCGG
rnacentral:tRNA from 1 species